UGAGCAAUCUGCCCUUCUCUUCGGAAUAAGCGUGGGAAACCGCGUCUAAUGCCGAAUACGACCUCCUUUCGCAUGAUCGGAGGUGGAAAGCUCCGGCGGAGAAGGAUGAGCUCGCGGCCUAUCAGCUAGUUGGUGUGGGUAAUGGCCCACCAAGGCGACGACGGGUAGCCGGCCUGAGAGGGUGACCGGCCACACGUGGGACUGAGACACGGCCCAGACCUCCGUACGGGAGGNAG
rnacentral:rRNA from 1 species